GAUAAAUGAUGGUUUCUAAAACUUUAGGGCCUAACACGACAGAGGUUGGGCCUUUCUCCAGUCCGUUGUUGUACACAAAUUCAGUAUCCAUAUGUGAUUCCACUUGUUGACUAUACUGUCAAUUUGCAAACAAAAAUAAUGAUUACUACCUACAGUUUAAUAUAUUAGCAAUAUAACAGUAGUAAUACAUAUACACUCAAUUACCUUGGAAAUUCAUGUUUUUGAACUUUUGAUCACUAGGUGUCAUAUGGAUAAGUUUUUAGAUUAAAGAGAAACUUAUUUGUUGUGCAUGAAACUAUUGCUGAUGGGGAUGCCACUCAGGUUGAGCACAUGGGACUGCCACGUAAGACUGCUAGAAAGGUCACUCCUCCUAAAAGACUUGGGGAUUACGUUUGGAAAGGGGGGAAAUCAUGUGAGGAAGGGUAAAAUUGGCAAGCAGUAGGCAUAAAGCAUCAUGAGUGGAGCAGUGCAGUGCAGACUACUUUGUUGUUAUCACUGGGCACUCUU
rnacentral:lncRNA from 1 species